ACCAAGACCAGCAGGGACACCAGGAGAAGUUCUCUGCCAUGCCUCUCUCAACGAAGUGAAGACUGUAGCAGCUGAUAUCACUCUGCCAAUCCGCCCGAGUUCAUGGAAACAGCAAGAAGCCACCAGUGCACCACCUGAAGUAUGCUGGCGAGUUUCUGUGAUGUCGCAAGUGGAGCUCAGCAACAUAGUGUAAGUGAUGAGGCUGAAACGAGCCGGAGAAAUGAUGAGAUCGCUCAGGGCUGGCCAAGUGACUGAGAUGGGACUUCAAAGUGCUGGGGAUGGGAUACAAGCCCUUGUGCACAGUAAGAAAAUAUUCUCUGGUGAGCUGUUCCCAGGCCUACCUGGAAUGCCUAGCAGUCUUUUCUUGAAGAUUUUAUGUCCAUUCUACAGAGGAGGAAGAUAACAGUAAAGCCCUCGGCCAGCCUGUGUCUGAGCUUUUAGUGUUGGUCUUAUGCCCAAAGCCACCUUUGUUUGGAAAUCCUAACAUCACUGUGCCUUGCUGAGGUGACUGUAGGCUCGCUUGCCAGCCCUUUGCUGAGGCGAUGAUGUAACUGGAGAAGGGCACGGCAUAAUAAGUGGCCAUCGCACACAAGGCAAGAGCCAAAAACUGGGAGGUCUCCACUCUCCUCUUUGAACAAUUGAAGUGCAUUAAACAUCUCUCCCGCAGUCACACU
rnacentral:lncRNA from 1 species